CCAGACUCCUACGGGAGGCAGCAGUGGGGAAUAUUGCACAAUGGGCGGAAGCCUGAUGCAGCAACGCCGCGUGCGGGAUGACGGCCUUCGGGUUGUAAACCGCUUUCGCCUGUGACGAAGCGUGAGUGACGGUAAUGGGUAAAGAAGCACCGGCUAACUACGUGCCAGCAGCCGCGGUGAUACGUAGGGUGCGAGCGUUGUCCGGAUUUAUUGGGCGUAAAGGGCUCGUAGGUGGUUGAUCGCGUCGGAAGUGUAAUCUUGGGGCUUAACCCUGAGCGUGCUUUCGAUACGGGUUGACUUGAGGAAGGUAGGGGAGAAUGGAAUUCCUGGUGGAGCGGUGGAAUGCGCAGAUAUCAGGAGGAACACCAGUGGCGAAGGCGGUUCUCUGGGCCUUUCCUGACGCUGAGGAGCGAAAGCGUGGGGAGCGAACAGGCUUAGAUACCCUGGUAGUCCACGCUGUAAACGGUGGGUACUAGGUGUGGGGUCCAUUCCACGGGUUCCGUGCCGUAGCUAACGCUUUAAGUACCCCGCCUG
rnacentral:rRNA from 1 species